UUAGUGACACUGAGGAAUGAAGUGAAGGAGUUGGAUUGCUUGGAGGAAGCUUGAAGUCGGCACUUGGCAACUCUUAGUUUAGCACUUUGGCAUUUGUUUGCUUGUUGGACUACCAUUUUAUUUUGGUCUGUAAUUUGGCACCAUUAUGAACUCCCAUUCUCAGUUUCCCACUUUCUGCAUUUGGUUAAUUUGAAGUUUUGAACUUUAACAAAUGCUUUGUAUUAGUGUUUUCAAAUUUCCAGGUUUUGGUUGCAUGUUUUAG
rnacentral:lncRNA from 1 species